UACGUAGGUGGCAAGCGUUGUCCGGAUUUACUGGGCGUAAAGGGCGUGCAGGCGGCUUGUUAAGUGCAGGGUGAAAGCUCCCGGCUCAACUGGGCGGGGUUAUGCCAGACUGGCAGGCUAGAGGGUGGGAGAGGGAUGUGGAAUUCCGGGUGUAGUGGUGAAAUGCGUAGAGAUCCGGAGGAACCCCAGAGGCGAAGGCGGCAUCCUGGCCCACGACUGACACUCAGACACGACAGCAUGGGGAGCGAGCGGG
rnacentral:rRNA from 1 species